GCCUAUAAAAACAUAGUGUUAAUUCAUUGGAUCCCAUUAGAACUUCGUAGUUAAGCGCGCUCAGGCUAGAGUAAUACUAGGAUGGGUGAUCACUCUGGAAGUCCUAGUGUUUACAUGCC
rfam:Picea glauca, whole genome shotgun sequence.